rnacentral:rRNA from 1 species
AUUGAACGCUGGCGGCAGGCCUAACACAUGCAAGUCGAGCGGCGGGGGACGGGUGAGUAACGCGUAAAGAACUUGCAUCACAGCUAGGGACAACAUUUGGAAACGACAGCUAAUACCUAAUACUGUGAGAGAGCUUUGCGUCCCAUUAGCUAGUUGGAGAGGUAACGGCUCACCAAGGCGAUGAUGGGUAGCCGGCCUGAGAGGGUGAUCGGCCACUAGGGGUCUGAGACACGGCCCUUACUCCUACGGGAGGCAGCAGUUGGGAAUAUUGGACAAUUGACCAAAGUCUGAUCCAGCAAUUCUGUGUGACCGAUGAAGUUUUCGGAAUGUAAAGUGCUUUCAGUUGGGAAGCGGUACCAACAGAAGAAGUGACGGCUAACUACGUGCCAGCAGCCGCGGUAAUAC